AGUCCGAGUGCAGCAUUUUUGACCGUACUUGCCUAUGAAGGUAAAUAGGCAAAUUGGAAUGCUUUUUAAGAAUUGAAAGGGAUUUAUUUAAAAUCAAAUCCUCACCCUGGGCUCCGAAUAUGUUCAGUCCACUUGUCUGAACUUCUGCAUUGGAGUAAGUUUACAUCACUGUCAUGGAAGUCAAAACUGAUGGCGUAAUACUAAAAACAAUGGUGGGAUCCCCCAUCCAGGAAGCGGUACAUGGUGUUCAUCACAUUAACUACUGUUCGGUGGAUGUGUGGAGCCAUACAGUUGUGGAAUUACCAAGAAAAAAAGGAUUUAAGGGCUUCAAAAUACCUUUUUAAAAACUUAACGAGUUAACCAGAAGAUUAAAAGAUCUUAUUCUCUUAAUCUUCCAGCUAGACUAUUUUUCCCUAAUGAGUAAGAUAUGUGACUGCUGAUUAUUUUUGUGUGUUAAGUGGUCGAACUGCUCCACCUGACAUCAGACAGCAGACCCUUAAAGAGAGCUAAUGCUCUUUCAAAGAUUUGCAACAGCAGACCCACAACAUGGUAAUCCAGGACUGAUAGAAUGGGUUCAGCAUAUGAAAAGGGUGAUGUCUAGUUAGAUAUUGAAGUCGUGAUGGAGAGGAGGAGAUUCUGAAGCAUUGAGGAUAAAUUUGUGGUUGUUGAGAAUGGCCCUUGCAUCUUGGAGUAAAGCCAAAAACUCUCUGUGCCUCUUUGCAGCUCCCACUUCCCUCUAAGACUCUUCCUUCCUGAUACUCAUCAUUCAUUUUGCGGACACUGCAGGAGGUGUCUGUGGUCCCAUUGGAGCUCUUGGCAAAUUGUAAUGCUCAGGACGUCACAGAUGUCACGCAAGGUCUUAGGGAGACCAGCCUUUCCCAUUCAAGUUCCCACAGCUCUUUCCCCAGCGGUCACCUUCCUCAGAAAUGGUCUUUAACACCGCCACCUCACCCCAUUUCCCCUCCACUCUUGGGAAGCAUAAGUCUAGCAGUGGAAUCAGGCCUGAAGAAAGGAGGCUGAAGAUAGGCCCAUGGCUUUGCUAAGUUAGCUUUUACAUCCUGAGUGGCUGCCUUAGAAAGUGUCCUUGCCCAGGUAGGCUGUGGCUUCUAGAUAAAGUCCUGCUGCUAAGCUGUGAAACAUGCCAAUUUAUAAAUUGCUAUCACGACUUUAGUUCUGCUCAUUUCAAAUGAAAUAGCUGAAUGCCGAGCGAGUGAAUUUGGGCAUCUCUAUUUCCAAGAUUUCUGGGGCAUUCAAGAGUCAUCUUCUAUCGAAGCUUUCAUGGUGCUGGUGUUCCCUUUCCUUUGGCCACUCAAGGCAGCCUAUUCGCUUUGGAUAAACUGUGAAAUCGUUAACCUUGUGAAUGUCCGUUUUCUCUAAGGCAGAGUGGGCUGAAACAAAACAUAACUGGAUUUAUUUUGAAAGUGGUGACUCCACAAAUAAAAACAGAUACCUAGUUUGCCUUGUAAAGGCCGAUUUACAAAUAGCAUUUCCGCGGUUCUUUUUUUUUUAAUGCCCCACAAGGCACUGCUUUGUUGGAAUUGCCAUUGGUGAGGAUCUCACUGAUACGGAAGGGGGCAUCCCUCGCUUGACAUUCUUCAGGGUCGCACUAGUGCCAUGCCCCCUUUGAAGUGGCCUCUAAGCAAACUCCAUCUUGCUAUAAUUUUCCUCUCCCUGGCUGUUAAUGCAACAGAGCUGUACUUUGAGUUUUUGAUAAUUGAUUCUGCUAAGGCAACUGGAGAGAUUGUUAAUUCAUCUCAAAAAAUCAGUGAUUCUGACCGAUGAAAAGAUUGAAGGAAAUGUCAGAAUAAAGCACUUGGGUUCGUGAAAUCCUUGCUUUUACAGUUAAGGUUUAUAGGCAGGUGUUAGCACUGUCAGCUGGAUUCAGCUGUGUAGAUUGGGGGUGAACACACUACAGUCUCUGGGCUGACUCUGACCCACUGCCUGAAUUUGUAAGUAGAAUUGUCCAUUUAUUCCCAUUCCUGUAACUGUGUGUGUGUAUUCGGUUAUUCCAAAAUAACAUGGCUGUUUGCGUGUUACCAGAAGAGUUGCCCAAUUGAGGUGGAGAUCAUUUAGCUCGCAAGACUGUACAUAUUUACUCUUUGGCCUUUUCCAGAAAAAAAAGUGCUGACUCCUACAUUAGGUAAUCCAGUUCGUUCAAAGUGCUAUCACCCUAACAUUCUCCAGAUUAGCCACAGCUUAGGUGAAAUUUAGGCAAAUCAGAUGCCCCAGGCCACAGGAAGAUUUGGCAACGCAUUGUGUGUAAUUGUUGCACCAGUGUCCUGUACCCCCUGUGCCCCUUGUCUCAACCUGCCCCUGCCGUUUUUUUUAGGGAGGUGCAAGGAUUAGAAUGUUGCCUCCUCAGAAACUAACACUCUUCUCUCCUUGACCUUUGUUUAACCAGCUUUCUGAACCUGAAGAACUUUGUAGAUUGAAAGCUGUAGCUUGUGGACCCCUCUCUGUGGAGAUCAGCAUCUCAGUAUCCAGGGGGAAGUCAUCUCUUCACCCAAAGCUUCUGCUAGCAGAUCAAGAGGCCUGGAACCCAGCAGUCCUGAAUGCUAACCAGUAGAGACAAGGGAGGAAUUCAUUUCUAUUUGUGUUCAACGUAGACUGAGCAGGAAGGGCCAGGUGUUUUAUGGCUCUUUGGAGUUAGCAGCUCGAUGGCUCUGAUUUGGUAAAAACGAUCGGAAAUGCCUUCAGCAUGGUGAUCAUUAUGUGCAAGUGUUGCGAAGGGUUAGGAAAGGGAAUUUUUUUUUUUUUCUUUAGGCGAGGGAAUUUCCCAUUGAGGAAGAUUUCUGCUUCGUUUUUAGACUCAGCUAUCAGUCAACUAAUUUGGCUGUGCAUGUAAAUACUUGAGUAUAAAAUGCUGCCCCCUGCUACCUGCAGGCUGUCAUGUUGCUCAUCAAAGGCAGGAUCCUUCUAAUGAGGGAUUAGCUGGAUGCCUAAAUGUGGGACCACCUACUCCGUUCACUGUCUUAAUUAGCUAGAUGUUUGUUAGAGCUCACGCAAAUUAUUCUCUGUAAGCAGACAGAUUUAAUAUCAUAUUGAAGGAGUGACAUCCAGGGUUUUGUCAGACAUCCAUUAAAUUUUUUUUUUUUUUAAUAUUUGAGAUGGGGUUUUACUAUGUUGCGCAGGGGUGGUGGUUGAACUCCUGGGCUCAAGUAAUCCUCCCACCUCAGCCUCCCAAAGUACUGAGAUUACUGGUGUGAGCCACCGUGCCUGGAUGCUGUUAGCAAGUAUGAACAAAUGAGAUAUUUUCUGUCUAAUCUUCAGUGGUAAUGGUAAUAAAACUUCUUAACGCUCAUUCCUAAUACAGCAGUGGCUAAAACUUGACUUUAAAAGUUUUUUCCAGAAUUUGGUCCAGAUGAAAAGUUUCUUUCACCUUGUGAACCUGGGCUGCAUCAUAUGUUGUGACUUUAAAGCUAGAAUAACCUCACUUGGUUUCCAUUUUUGAGCCAAAGGACCCAUUAACAGAAACAAAACUUUUCUUCCUCUGCACAUAUACAAGCUGGCCACACUGGUAAAUACCAGUGAAAUGUAUUUUGGGACUGACACUUGAAUUUUCUAUUGGUAUUUAUGUCACAAAAUCACCUCUCUAAGGUUUAUCACAUGGACACACACACACACACGUAUAUCAAAAUGUAUAUAUUUUGAGGUAUAAAAAGUACGUGCUCAAGGUAUCAGUCACUCCUAAAUUUGUUUUCCUUGAAACAAAAUGAAGGUAUCAAAUUUCAUGCAGGGAAUCCCGAAGUGUUAUCAUGGUGUGUUGUUGAAAUUGAUGGUCUUGGCUUAGAGAGCCUACUUUUUAAAACUCGGGGUCCUGUUUCUAAAUCAUGUGUUGAAAUUACAGUGUGAGCUGGACUUGCCGUACUCUUUGAGCCUGCAAAUGAUCGCCGUGACGACUUCCUAUCUGCUGCGAGUUCAACCCGCCCUACACUAAUACACGAACAUUACUUUUUCUUCAUGUAGAGAAGGGUGUUCACUCCUAAGCCUGAACCCACACUUCCCAGUUGUGGAGUGCACCGGCUUCCUUUACUGCUUUGGUUCUUUGUUUUCUUUUUCGUACCUAGAUGUUACUAAAUUCUGCCUUUGAGCCUAAACCAUGCUAUUGGUGUUUUUCUUUCCCACUUAUUCCAAAAGGGCCCAUAAAUCCGAGGCCAUAGCUAACUUAGAUUUAGUCAUUUUCUUGGGUAAAACAUACUCAUAUGAAAUCGUUACACUUAGGAUCUUGAAAUAUGUGAUUAGUUUCCUUUCUGAUUGUUGACAAGACUUAAACUAGUGGGAUCUUGGCAUUUAUCUUUUUAAGAACCUGGUGCUCAUUAAGGAAAGGAAAAUAUUCUGAAAUAAUCAAAAUAACCUUUUGGGCAUUGAAACUCCAUUUUGAAUUAAAAGCAUUUGUGUCUUAUGCUAAAUUAUAUCCAGGUAUUGUAAGUAAAAUUAUUUUGAAGUUACUUUGUUCUAAGAAACUAUGGAGAUUAUUGACAAUAUUAGAAAGAGUCCUUAAAUGAUAAUUAUAUAAAAAUUGAGAAUUAGUACCUUAUGACUUAACCAUUUUACACUGAAAUAUUAUCGGACAUUGAAUGUACAUGGAAAUCGCGUGGUCAAAGUAUUUGAGAAACAAAUAUCUCAAGGAAGACACCAAUUUAAAAUAUUCAAAUGAGUGUCAUCUCAUAAUUUGGUAAUCUCAUGUAAAACACUUUUGAUCGGGGUGUGUAUCUGUAUACAUACAUUUUUAAAAAUAGAUUUGUAAUCACAUACACAGUAGUGCCCCCUUAUCCAUGGUCUUUGACGUUUUUUUUUUGAGAGAGUCCUCUGUCACGCAGGCUGGAGUACAGGGGUGCAAUCUCUGCUCACUGCAUCCGCUGCCUCCCAGAUCCUAGUGAUUCUCAUGUCUCAGCCUCCUGAGUAGCUGGGAUUACAGGUGCGCAGCACCACGCCGAGCUAAUUUUAAUGUUUUUAAUAGAGACAGGGUUUCGCCAUGUUGCCCAGGCUAGUCUCGAACUCCUGAGCUCAGGCAAUCUGCCUGCCUCAGCCUCCCAAAAUGUUAGGAUUACGGCUGUGAACCAGCGUGCCAGGACGGUGUUUCACUUUUUGAGGUUUCAGUUACCUGAGGUCAACAGGCAUCUGAAAGUACUAAUUUCGAGAGAGAGUGUGUGUGAGAGGCCACAUUUAUAUAACUUUCACACAGUACGUUGUUAUAGUUGUUCUCUUAUUGUUGCUGAUCUCUUACUGUGCCUAAUGUUUAUUCUAGGUGUGUAUGUAUAGGUGAAAAUGUAGAACACACAGGGGUUUGGCACUGUCCAGUUUUUCAGGCAUCGAUGUGGGUCUUAGAACUCCUCUCCCGAGGAUAAGGGGGCUACUGUCUGUGUGAACCUGAUUAGAUCUCAUCUGGAACUUUUUUCGUCACAUGAGGUCAUCAGUUAAUGUCCUGCUUGUAUGUAGGUUUAGAGUUUAAUUGCUUUUUUGUAGCGUCAGCAUAACAAAUGAGGGUCAUACAAACUAUUGUUCAAUGACGAAGUGGUUCGAACUCAUAAUUUAAAAACUAAUAAGACAUUUUUGUUCUACUUGAGGUCUUGUAGUGUUACAUAAAGUUUGAAAAUUUGGAACUUGUUUUACUUAAAACCCAAUUAAAAUAAUUUGAUCUUUUGCUUUUGCAUUAUAUAGUGACACAGUAAGAAUUUGUAAUGAAAGACAGUCUUCUACAUAGUUUCUUUUAUCUUUUGAGACGGUGUCUCACUCUGUCACCCAGGCUGUAGUGCAGUGGCAUGAUCUCAGCUCACUGCAACCUCUGCCUCCUGGGUUCAAGUGGUUCUUCUGCCUCAGCCUUCUGAAUAGCUGGGAUUAUAGGCGUGAGCUACCCUGCCUGGCUAAUUUUGCUAAUUUUUGUAUUUUUAGUAGAGGUGGGGUUUCGCCAUGGUGGCCUAGCUGGUCUUGAACUCCUGACCUCAGGUGGUUUGCUCACCUUGGCCUCCCAAAGUGCUGGGAUAAAAGACAUUAGCCACCAUGCCCGGUGGUAUUCUACCUGUUUGUUUUCUUUAAGAGCAGAAACGUCUUUAAAUGUUUUUAUUUUUUUUCCACUAGAGGGCUCUGUUGCCCUUUGAUAUAAUUAAACAAAAGAGGUUAGCAUCGCAAUAUAGUUUUCUUCCUUCCAGUCCAUCUUGCUUUCAUUUUUGUUAAAUAAUGUCUUUUACUUUUCUAGCAUGUCUUUGAGGUCUCAUACUUCUCUGCGAUAGAGUUCAAACUGAAGACUCUUACUAGUGUCAUGUUUGUUUCUUUUCCUCUGUCUCUUGUUUUGUUUGUAUAAAAUGGCAGGGAUGAAGGGAUCACCUUAGUGAAAAGGGCCAUUGUAUUCAGGGAAGCAGGCUGUGCUGCCAUUCUGCCAAAUCACACAAGGGCAUGUGUUUUCAUGAUAUUAUUGAUUUUGAGUGUGCUGGCCUAGCAAUAAUAUGAUUUUUUUUCCCUAAGUGGAAAUUGUAAUAUUUACAUAUUAAUACCUCUGUUUAAGGUUCAUUUUCAAUGCCUUGGUGACCUUAUGUUUUUUCCUUUUUUUUUUUUUUUUGAGACGGACUCUUGCUCUGUCGGCCAGGCUGGAGUGCAGUGGCACGAUCUUGGCUCACUACAACCUCUGCCUCCAGGGGUCAAGAAGUUCUCUGCCUCAGCCUGCCGAGUAGCUGGGAUUACAGGAGUCAGCAACCAUGCCUGGCUAAUUUUUCUACUUUUAAUAGAGACGGUUUCGCCAUCUCGGCUAGACCAACCUUGAACUCCUGACCUCGUGAUUCACCCGCCUUGGCCUCCCACAGUGCUGGGAUUACAGUUGUGAGCCACCGCAUCCUCGACCCUAUGUUUUUUCUAAAGAAUAUAGUUUCCCUUGCCCCUGCCCCCGGCCUUACCCAGUGUUACAUAAUUUAUUGUAAUUAAAUUGUUUAUUAGUGGGACAUUCUUGCUCUAGAAGAAAACAUGUCCUUUUGGGCUCAGUACAGUAUGUUUUUUAAGUAAGAGGGAUCCUGUUAAACUAGCUACUCAAUGUGAAGCCGAUAGCCAGUGUUCUCCGUGUACAGUCUUAAGGAGGGUAAUUUUUAUUUUGGCUCUGUAAUUACGGUUCGAGGCAGCCCAUUAAUCGCAUACUUGAGCUGUCAAACAGAACUUUGGCCUGGAAAAGAACACACUUUGGCUUUAGAAAACUGCUUAUUUUCAAAUCUUUAAACGGGGACAGAAAAGAAUAUGCUAUAUUAUAUACUUUUAUUUAUAAUUUUUUUUUCUCAGCAACUUUUUCAAAAAUGCAAGAGCCUGAAAAACAUUGCAAAUAUAUUUGUAACAUUGCAAAACUGUUUCACCAGAGUCAAGAUGUUUUGGUUGUUUAUAUGCAAAUGUAUUUGUUUAUCAAAUAAAUUGUUAAAACUA